UUCUGGGCUGCCCAGUCC
rnacentral:snRNA from 1 species